rnacentral:rRNA from 1 species
UAGUCCACGCCGUAAACGAUGUCUACUUGGAGGUUGUGGCCUUGAGCCGUGGCUUUCGGAGCUAACGCGUUAAGUAGACCGCCUGGGGAGUACGGUCGCAAGAUUAAAACUCAAAUGAAUUGACGGGGCCCGCACAAGCGGUGGAGCAUGUGGUUUAAUUCGAUGCAACGCGAAGAACCUUACCUACUCUUGACAUCCAGAGAACUUUCCAGAGAUGGAUUGGUGCCUUCGGGAACUCUGAGACAGGUGCUGCAUGGCUGUCGUCAGCUCGUGUUGUGAAAUGUUGGGUUAAGUCCCGCAACGAGCGCAACCCUUAUCCUUGUUUGCCAGCGAGUAAUGUCGGGAACUCCAGGGAGACUGCCGGUGAUAAACCGGAGGAAGGUGGGGACGACGUCAAGUCAUCAUGCCCCUUACACCCUGGGGCUACACACGUGCUACAAUGGGGCGAGACAACGAGUUGCGAACCUGCGAAGGU